UACAGAGGGGGCCAGCGUUAUUCGGAAUUAUUGGGCGUAAAGGGCGCGUAGGCGGCUUUGCGUGUCUUUCGUGAAAUCCCUCGGCUCAACUGAGGACGUGCGGAAGAAACUGCAGGGCUGGAGUCCGGGAGAGGAGGGUGGAAUUCCCAGUGUAGCGUUGAAAUGCGUAGAUAUUGGGAGGAACACCGGUGGCGAAGGCGGCCCUCUGGACCGGUACUGACGCUGAGGCGCGAAAGCCAGGGGAGCAAACGGG
rnacentral:rRNA from 1 species